GAUGAAGAACGUAGCGAAAUGCGAUAAGUAAUGUGAAUUGCAGAAUUCCGUGAAUCAUCGAAUCUUUGAACGCACAUUGCGCCCCCUGGUAUUCCGGGGGGCAUGCCUGUCCGAGCGUCAUUGCAACCUUCAAGCGCGGCUUGUGUGUUGGGUCUCGUCCCCCGUGGACGGGCCCGAAAGGCAGUGGCGGCGUCCCGACAUGGUGCCCGAGCGUAUGGGAAUCCUCUUCCGCUCGAAUCGGCCCAUGCGGCGCUGGUUGUAACCAAAUUUUUUACCGGUUGACCUCGGAUCAGGUAGGGAUACCCGCUGAACUUAAGCAUAUCAAUAAGCGGAGGA
rnacentral:misc_RNA from 1 species